UCAUGUUUAAAUUCUGCAUUUCAUCUUGUACCUCUUUUGAAGUGUAGUAUCUAUAGUAUCUUGAUAUUUAGAUCAAAACUUCUGUUUUAACAUUCUGUUCCACAUAUGAGAGAACAGUGCAUAUCAGCUCCAGAAACUCUGAGGAGAUCAUUGAGAGAAGAUAUGCAGGCUAGGUGUUGACGUGUAGCUAAAAUUUUAUUUAGUCAUUUUGAAACAGAGAUUAGAAGCAAAUAUGACAAAAUUGUAAAUAUAUUGCUCAAUUUUAAUGGUGGGUAUGUGUAAGAAUGCCCUGUCCCAACCAUCUUCAUACACACACAGUACAUUACCGAACUUCUGGGUCCUUUAUAUUUCAGUGAGUAAAAUAGUCUGUGUAAUUUUAAUUUGCAUAUCUCUUAUUUAUAAGUUUGGCUUCUCGUCUUUCCAUAUGUUUAAGAACCAUUUUUCAUUUUCUAGACACUUUGAAGUCAAUUGAUCCACUUGUUAAUUUAAAAAUUAAAGGUAGAAGUAUAUUUACUCUUCUGAGCUAACAAUAAUAAAAGAUGUAAGAAUGGAAAGUGGCCCCUAGAGAAAGGGACUCUGGGAGACUGUCACUUUGUAUACACUUGUCUAUCAUUUGAAAAGAAAUUGUACAUAUGAAUCCAUACUGCUCUGAUAAAGGAAACAAACAAACAAACAGAGAUCAGGCCAUGCUGAACUUUCGAUCAGCUAUCUUAUACUUUAUGCUUUAGGGAUAAAGUCUUACAAUGCAAGCUCACAUUGCUUGACAUUGCUACCCAGCUCACGAUUGUCAGUUACAGGCUCCAGAACAGAAGUCACUUCCUGGCAGGUGGACAGGAUGGGGUCGGAUGGGAGAGGCUGAUACGUGGAAGCGGGCAAAUGCUGAGAAACAUCUCAGUGAGGGAUCGUGUCUCAAACAGCUCUGCUCUCUGAAUUGCCAGCAGUCCCUGCACGGGAAAUCACGGGUCUGUCCAGUAUCUUGAUAAGCCUUGCCCAGCCACCAGUUUUCACUCCAGCUCCUGGAUGCAUCUCCUGAUUGAGAGGAUAGAGAAGUGUCCUCUGGUGUCACUCAAUCUCAGAAAGACUCCCCUUCUGCCCAGGUCAGCUCUCUACCUCAACCAGGAGACUGGAGGAAGAAUGUAAAAAUACAAUUGGGAACAAGAUGGCCGGACAGGAGGCCCCUGACUUUCCCUCUUCUCAUGAAGGAUCAAUUCCCUCUGAGAGAAAUCCGGAAACAAGUUGAGUGACCCUACACACCAGGAGACAGGGAAAAUGAGAACUUAUUUUUGAUCAUGAGAAUGAAGGAAAGAAAAAGAGAAGGAAAAGAAGAAGAGCUAGGAAGAUGGCAGAUGGCUGGCUGGGUACCAAGUAGGGCAAAGGCCCAGUGAGAAACCUCUAGUGAGAGAAAAUGGACAUGUUUAUUUAUAAAGAGAGUAUUCAUUUAUGUGAUGUAAUAUAUGCCCUCUUCCCAUGACCCUCACAUUGUCAAUGAAGUUUACACCACAGUUAACAAUAAAACUGUGGCCACCCAGGAUCCUGGAGAAGCUGAGACAAGAGGGAGUGAAUUCAGUAUGAGAAGCAAGUGGAUCCAAAAGCAAGUGGUGUGAGAGGUGGACUGUAGCGGGUGCUGUCAGAAUGCCUGAAUUCCUUUUUCCAGUUUGUUGUUCUCAUCCCCUAGCUGCCAACUGAAUUCCUGCUAACAGCUCACACUUGGAAUCCACCAACCAAUUGUCCUUGGGGGACCGGAGCCACCUCCAACCCAGGCUGCCUGUAACGAAUGACUGCCCAGUGUUGGCGCGUGUACAGAAGCCCAGCUCCCUUGACCCCAGAUGGGACAAACUCUGGUAUAAUUUACACUCCAGAGCUCCCUGUAUGAUCAUGCCAAGGCUAGACUUCACUGAAAUCAGAUUCUUGCUCAGCCUCUUCCCCUUCUGCAUCUGACUUUCCCCAUUCCUCACAGGUUUCUCCUGAGAGCACAGGAAUCCCCACGUUGGAUUCUGCUUCUAGAGAUCCUGACCUGAGACUACAAACUGAUUUUGAUUUCAAUGUGAACACAAAAAUUUAAGUGAAACUUAAAUUGAAGUAAUGACCAGUGCAAUUUGAAAGUCAUCCUCUAGACCACUGAGUCCCAGCCCUGUGAUUGAAAUCACCUAGCAGAUUUCUUAUAAUGUCAUUUCCUAGGUCCAAUCCUAAGACCUCCUUAACCAAAACUCUGCAAGUGUGACUUAGGAGUGUCCAUUUUUUUUAAGUGCUCCUUGUAUUUAUGGUUAUUAAGGUUUUGGAACCCAUUCGUUUAAACAAAUCAUUUGCAUUGGAUGCUAUCAAUAUACCUCUAUAUGACCUUGUGAGAUGUGCAAGAUGAAACUUUGAGGUCGCUCCCAAUACUACAUGUCUGCAAUUCAGUUAACUAUUCAUGAUAAACCAAAUCCCUUGCUCGAAUAAAGAAGUGAUCUUGAUUUUAAAUCAAA